GUUAGGAGCUAGGGUAUGGGAUCAGAGCUCCCCCAUCCUCACGCUCGUCUAGAGCUGACAUCCAUACUGCCUACGAUAUCCGACUGACGAAGAUAUACAGACAGACUGUUGAGGAUCGAUAGUGAGCGGAUGAGUUGGUUGCAUGCAUCGAUUCCUACCGAUCGUUUCAGAUGUAGACAAUGGAGUAGAUGGUGCAGAUAGAGCUGAUGAUGGACCUGAUGAGGCAGC
rnacentral:lncRNA from 1 species